AUUUGGUGCUUGCACCAGAUGAAACUAGAUACAAGCGAGCGGCGGACGGGUGAGUAACACGUGGGUAACCUGCCCAAGAGACUGGGAUAACACCUGGAAACAGAUGCUAAUACCGGAUAACAACACUAGACGCAUGUCUAGAGUUUAAAAGAUGGUUCUGCUAUCACUCUUGGAUGGACCUGCGGUGCAUUAGCUAGUUGGUAAGGUAACGGCUUACCAAGGCAAUGAUGCAUAGCCGAGUUGAGAGACUGAUCGGCCACAUUGGGACUGAGACACGGCCCAAACUCCUACGGGAGGCAGCAGUAGGGAAUCUUCCACAAUGGACGCAAGUCUGAUGGAGCAACGCCGCGUGAGUGAAGAAGGGUUUCGGCUCGUAAAGCUCUGUUGGUAGUGAAGAAAGAUAGAGGUAGUAACUGGCCUUUAUUUGACGGUAAUUACUUAGAAAGUCACGGCUAACUACGUGCCAGCAGCCGCGGUAAUACGUAGGUGGCAAGCGUUGUCCGGAUUUAUUGGGCGUAAAGCGAGUGCAGGCGGUUCAAUAAGUCUGAUGUGAAAGCCUUCGGCUCAACCGGAGAAUUGCAUCAGAAACUGUUGAACUUGAGUGCAGAAGAGGAGAGUGGAACUCCAUGUGUAGCGGUGGAAUGCGUAGAUAUAUGGAAGAACACCAGUGGCGAAGGCG
rnacentral:rRNA from 1 species